GCUGAUCUGGUGCAUCUGGCUCAUGGGCCAGAGAUAGAUGCCUCCACUCAAAAUCUUCAGCCACAACUCAUCUCCUGGAGACAGAUACCUACACUAGAGGAUUGCGCUCCAGAGGGCACACUUCGAAAACAGGAGUAGAAAGGUUCUUCAAGAACAACAAAGAAGAUAGUUGCAGAGUAAAUGAAAGUGUAAAUGAAGAACCCAAGAGCCAAGGCACACUGGUUUAAUGCCGAAAAGAACAGUAAAGAAGCUGUUCUUUCUGGAAAAACAGUAGAACCUCUAGGAGAGAGUUUCACUUCCACAGACAGUUACAAUGGGCCCUCUUUGCUGGCUGCAGAUCCCAUUGAUCCCCCUCAAGCUCUAUCAGAAGAACUUAGAGGAAUAUGAUGUAUGUUCUCCAUUUAGCUGCCCAUUCAGCAGCCUUCCUGGACUCCAGAUCUUGCUCAGCCAUUUCUCCAGCUUUGAAUCCAUUAACCUAUAGGGUCUUUGGGGUACAAUGGAGGAGGAGGAUACUGCAAAGGACAAUUUGAAAUAGCAAGCCAUGUGCAAGCACUAACAGCUCUUGCAAAUGGUGAUUCUUCAUCAGGAAAAUCUCAGAGACCAUUCAGGAGAUGAGAGAAGUUCUGCCUCCCAAUAUUUAUGACUCUGUUGGAACUAAAGUGACAGCUGCAGCAAGCC